AACGAACGCUGGCGGCAUGCCUAACACAUGCAAGUCGAACGAGACCUUCGGGUCUUGAGGCGCAUGUGUGCGUAACGCGUGGGAAUAUGCCCUUAGGUACGGAAUAACCCCCCGAAAGGGGUGCUAAUACCGGAUAACGUCUACGGACCAAUGUUUUAUCGACUUUGGUUGGGCGCGCGUUGGAUUAGCUCGCUGGGAGGGUAAAAGCCUACCAAGGAGACGAUCCAUAGCUGGUCUGAGAGAAUGGUCAGCCACACUGGGACUGAGACACGGCCCAGACACCUACGGGAGGCAGCAGUGGGGAAUAUUGGACAAUGGGCGGAAGCCUGAACCAGCAAUGCCGCGUGAGUGAUGAAGUCCUUAAGGUUGUAAAGCUCUUUUACCCGGGAAGAUAAUGACAGUACCGAGAGAAUAAGCGCCGGCUAACUCCGUG
rnacentral:rRNA from 1 species